CAUUAUAAUUGCUCAUAGCAUCCACGUCUUCGCUAGCCACACUCAAUCCUUAGCUAUAAUAGCUCUCUACUUGGCUAGCUAUACUAGAAAAAUGAACAGUGCUUAGCAUUCAAUUGGCUUUCAGAAGAUUGCGGGAAAAAAAUUGUAAUGGCAUCUGGGUUUUGUCUUUUGUUCUUGGCUUUAAUUCUCCUAGCAAUCAACAAUUAAACGAUGACGAUUCUGUACACGAGUUCAUCUGGAUCUAUGGUGCUAGCAGAGUUUAGCGUAACGAUGACAAACGCAGUCGCGAUUGCUCGAUAAAUAUUGAUUUAACAGUUCAUGGGCUUGCUUUAGAUGGAAUCAAAGUCUUUACAAAUAGGGAGGUGCAAAUUUAUUUUGCAUGAUUCUACAACUUUUCAUGGAAUUUUAACAGCAUGUAGCCAUUGUGUUUUGGUUAAAGGUCACAAAUGCUUUGAUUUAAUGAGAAGUCGAUAUUCAGUUCAGCUAUAAAUUGAGGAUUACAGAGCCAUGGUUGACUCUUGGGUCAAGCUGGGCUUUUAGAAAAGGCUUUUGCCAUGAUCAAAUCAAUGCCAACAAAACCUAGUAAGGGGUUUAGGCUUCACAAAAAGAGACUGUUAUGGAUAAGAAAGGUUGGCUAUAGUGUGAGCUCGGAGAGAGAGAAACAAGGUUUCUAGGCAUAAUUCUUGAAGAUUCAACAACCAGAAGCAUGAGGGUUAUCCAUUAGGGUCAAUGGUUGGUUUUGCAUGUGAUGUUGAUGGAUCUCCAAUAUUAGCACUCAACAGCUUUGCAUUUCAUAUAAAGGUAUGCACAUCAAAGGAUAUAAGUUGUUUCUUCUAGGGUUUUCAGGUGAAAAAUACUGGAAAUUAAAUGAAAAGGUAGAUGUAGUUGUACACAUUUCAUUUUGGAUUUAUGUUUCUUCAAUACAAAUUGGCCUUUGACU